GGACCUGAGCUCAAUGGCAGAGCACUUGCCUUGUACACAAAGGCCCCAGGUUCAAAUCUAGGCAUCUCCU